rnacentral:rRNA from 1 species
GAUGAACGCUGGCGGCGUGCCUAAUACAUGCAAGUCGGGCGAACAGAUGAGGAGCUUGCUCCUCUGACGUUAGCGGCGGACGGGUGAGUAACACGUGGAUAACCUACCUAUAAGACUGGGAUAACUUCGGGAAACCGGAGCUAAUACCGGAUAAUAUAUUGAACCGCAUGGUUCAAUAGUGAAAGACGGUUUUGCUGUCACUUAUAGAUGGAUCCGCGCCGCAUUAGCUAGUUGGUAAGGUAACGGCUUACCAAGGCAACGAUGCGUAGCCGACCUGAGAGGGUGAUCGGCCACACUGGAACUGAGACACGGUCCAGACUCCUACGGGAGGCACCAGUAGGGAAUCUUCCGCAAUGGGCGAAAGCCUGACGGAGCAACGCCGCGUGAGUGAUGAAGGUCUUCGGAUCGUAAAACUCUGUUAUUAGGGAAGAACAAAUGUGUAAGUAACUAUGCACGUCUUGACGGUACCUAAUCAGAAAGCCACGGCUAACUACGUG